AGACCCUGCUGGCCAACUUAGAGUGUGGGCAGUGGUUUAUUAUGUCUGAAUCUGGCUGGGCUGGUGCAGCAGGGACCCAAGCCAUGGUGCUGAAGUCCCCUCCUUGUUUCUCUGAGUAACCACAAGUAGAGACAAAAGAGCCUGUAUUUUAGGUUGAGAACUCCUGUGUUGAGACUCUGCUCUGAUGCUCACUAGCUGGGCAAGUCACUUAACAGUUGAUGAGCCAUUUAGCUUCACUGAUUGUUCAGUUUUCUUAUCUAUAAAAUGAGGCUAAUAAUGCCUUUCUCACAGGAUUUUUGGGAGGGUGAAAUUAGAUAAUGAAUACAAGAAUGGUUGCUAAAUUAUAUAAAGUGUUGCAUACAGUGCUAAUUAGUUCCACUGCAGAUAUUCAGUUCAAUCCAAGAAGCAGGUAUUAAGCACUACUGCUUACCAGGUAGGUCCUAUAUUAGGCACUUCAAAGGGUAGAAUGACGAGUAAGAAUCAGCCCUUGGUGGAAAGAUAAGAUAUAUUGAAUAUAGCUGUGAUGGAAUUCUUUUCCAUGUAGAUUUACAUCUGCAGUGGAAAUGCACUUUCUAGCAAUCUGUGCAGUUCAGGAUAACUUGUUAUACUGGACAUGAGUUAUUUGCCUCUCAUAUAUUCUUUCCCCAUUUUCUGGUAAUUGUAUCCCCCUAUUGUUAUCUGGGAGUCCACCCCUUCCUCUCUCUCAGCCCAUGUGUUUGAGUAGACUCCAUCCCCAGCUCCAGGGGUAGGCCUUCUAAGGCUCAGUCUUAUACAGUCAGUGCAUUUCAUUCCCCCUGCUGACAGUGAUUGUUUCAGGAACUAGCACAUAGUUCAAGUUGGCUAAUCAGAGCCUUUGAGAUUUAAAUAGAGCCAUUGAGAUUUUGUUCAUUUGAAUAAUGGGGAAGUAGGUUCAUACUUUCUCUGAACCUGGAAGUAUGUGGUAUUGGAGCCACUGGGGUCAUAUUGUGGUUCCUUCAGGAGGACCUUUCUAAGGAUGUAUACUAUCCAGAGAAAGCAAAUUUUAGAGAUAAAGAACCAGCUUUUGGUAAUACUUUUUGAGUGACUGGAUCCAGCUGUGCCUGAAGCAAGACCUACCUCAACUUUAUAGCUACAUGUAUUAGUAAAUUCUCUUUUGGUUUUAAGAAAUUCAGAUAGAGUUUUUCUGCCUCCUGACUCACAUCAGGAUGACCUAAAGAAUCCUUCAGUAGGUUCUUUGGAGACCCUGUAGAGAAGACCACACAAGCCAAAUAUUUCAUGGUUGCCCCCUACUACUAUGGUUCUUCCAUAUCCUCACCUACUGAAGACCAUGAAGCUACAUCAGGACCCAAAUAUUUUUUCCAGUUUUACUGAGGUAAAAUUAACAUAGACUAUUGCAUACAACAUGAUGAUUUAAUAUAUGUGUAUAUUUUAAGAUGAUUACCACAACAAGGUUAGUGAACACAUCCAUCACCUCACAUUGUUGUUCUGUGGUAAGAACAUUUAAAAUCUAUCCUUUCAGCUUUCAGGUAUAUAAUGCAGUACAAUUAACUGUAGUCACUAUGCUGUACAAUAGAUCCCAGAACUUACUCAUCUUACAAUUGAAAGUAUGUAUGCUUUGUCCAGUAUCUCCUGAUUUCCCCUACCCUGCCAGCCCCCUUACAACCACUGAUCCAUUCUGUUUCUAUGAGUUCAGCUCUUUUAGAUUCCACAUAUAAGUGAGAUUAUACAGUAUUUGUCUUUCUUCAUCUGACUUAUUUUACUCAGCAUCAUGCCCUCAAAGUCCAUCCAUGUUGCUGCAAAUGGCAAGAUUUUCUUCUUUUUUAUGGCCAAGCACAUCUUUGAACAGGAUACAGGUUCAUCCAGAUGUACCUAUCCUGUGACAAUGACUCAGCCCCUUCUCCCAGGUGGCACCAGGCCUAAAAACUCUUUUCAGAUGUUGUUUACUUCCCUUUCUAUGCCCUCCUUUAAUGAAUUCUGGGACCUGACCUCAUGCAGGGAAUCUUUUCUGACUAAGUAGGGGAAGGCAUGAAUCAUCUUCGAUUUUACAUACCACCACACUAACCCUGUCCAAGAUGUUCCUCAACCAAAGAAGUUGGAUGGGCAGACCACAGAAUCAUCUGGGUGCAGAGAGAGGGGGUGACUUGUCUACCUAAUUUCAGUGUCAGGUCAAGCAACCAGGUCCCUCUGCAUUUCUAAUCUGGCUCUCCUCUCAUUUUGUGACUAGUUUUUUUUCCAUUCUGGGUUUUUGAAUGUGACGUCCUAGAUACUUUAAGGUCAGUGUGGUCCACCUUGACAUUUACACUCCCAGGGAGCAGGGAUGGUUGUGUUCCAUGGGGUCAUAAAGCUAUCUCUGAUUUGGCAUUCUGCUCCCACAAGAGUUUAACAGGCAUUUCUGAUGGCAGGCUGAGGGUGGAGAGCUGCUAUGGGGCUACAGGCUCAGGUGGAUCGAGUUUCAGGCUAGGUGGGGUAGGAGAAUGGGGUGCACAGAAUGGGUCUGUGUGAUGCGUGAGUGGGCCACUUCCAUCAUUGAGUCCCUCACCUGCUGUAGGGACUUUUCUCUUUGGGUUCAUUGUUUUUCUCUGGGAAAUGGGGCUGAUGACUUGCUGUCAGUUCCUUAAUUGAGAGUAUAAUUGAGGACAAGCUCUCCACUAGAUGGUGAGCUUUCUGAGAGCUGCAGCCAGUCUGCAGAGGCUGUGUGAGCGCAUCUGCAUCUCUGCCUGUAUACUCUACUUACCAGCUCCCAGCACUCCCAGUCACUGAAAGGGACAGCUCUCUGUUCCAUGGCAUCCUUCCCCACUCUUGACCUAGCUGAUUGGACCAGGGGUGCAUAGAUGACCUAACUUGAUCCCCUUUCUUCUCCCAAGAAUUUGAAAUGAGGACUUUGAAGGGAGGGGUUGAAGAACUGUGGGUGCUGGAUUGGGAGGGCCUGUGGAGUCAGAGCAUGGGUCAGCUGCACACAGAAGCCUGUGGAAAUCCUAUGUUGUGGAUGAGCUGGUACUUUGACAAAGCCAUUCUACCGAGAGGACUGAACCCAGGAUCAUGCCACCCAGGAACUGAGUACAGAGAAGGGGAGACACUCUGGAUGAUUUUCCUGCUCCUGUGAGGGUUACUUUCACUUCUGACCCUCAGUUUUUCCUUGGGUUUCCCUGGUAGCAAGCAAGAACAUAACACCCUCUACUAGUUGAGCUAAUCUGAGGCAUUUCUGUUCCUCGCAAACAAGUGAUCCCUGAUUAGGACAUUGUCUCACACGUGCCUCAUCCCCUGCUCCUCAUGGCCAACCCUGCGUGUCUGCUGAAUGAAGCUUGAGCAGCUGAGGGCUGGGUGGCUGCAAUGGCAGAGCAUCCUCUGUUCAGAGGGUCCACGGCCUAGGACUACAGCUGUAGACACAAGCUGCUCACCUGGAUGGCGUUGUUGAGGAGGGUGGGCCACUGCGUGUUUCUGGGAUGUUCCUAAGGGAGGCUUGGUUUCAAGGACAGAAGGCAAAUCGCUCUAGCAUCUCCCCCCACCUCAAGCCGCGUGGGACUUGGGUGUUGCUGUAUACAGUGUUCUUACCUACAGCUUUAGAGCCCCUGUGCCUCCAAUUUGCCUGGGACUUGAGGGUCUUUAGUUGCUCCCUGGUCCCCCUUGGGAAACCUAAUACAUCUUGCUUCAGUUCUUUGAGUCUUAAUUACUUGCAAUCUUUCUCUCUCCUCCUCCUGCUUCUUUUCUUUUGAUGUUGAGACCUGUAUACCUGCCAAUUGGAGUCUGUAAUACAAGGGAGCAGGUAUUCUCUGCUUCACCCUCAUGUCCCCUGCACCCAACCUAGCUCCUGACCUCCAGUAGCUGGUUUCCCAGUAGUUGGUUUCCAGCCCUCUCAUAGGGCUUGUAACCUGGAACAUGGUAGGUGCUAGGAGGCAUUUGUGGCAUUGACUUUGGGAGGAAUAUACCUAAUAUAAAGGGAUGCUCUUCAAGGGGGAGCUGUAGAGCUUCAAGUCCUUGGGGGAAUGAAGAAGAGGGAGUGGACUCUGAAAGACAGCAGGGCUAUGGGGGGAGAUGGAAGUAACCAAAGACAUGUUUUGGCAACUGAAUUAGGAUUGUCCACCUGCUACAGCAGAGAAGCUUAAGAUUGUAGUGCUUUAACACAGUACAGGUUUAUUUUUUGUUCAGAUAACAGUAUGUGUGUUUGACAGGUGGCCUCCCAUGUGGUACCUCAAGCUCUCAGACUCCUGCCAUUUUGCAGUUCUGCCAUCCCCUAGGAUGUCAGAGUAGUCUGCUGGAUGGGAUGCUAUAUAUCCAGCUUAGAGGGAGCGAGGGAGGGAGGGGGAGAGAGACAGAGAAAGAGAGAGAGAGAGAGAAACUUGGGUUUCUCUAUGGGUGACUCUUAUGGGCCAUCCUGGAAGUUUUAUCUUUUGUGUCUGAUCCCAUUCCAUUGGGGAGGCUAGUAGCUGAGACAACUGCCAUUGAACAGGUAGUUUAUUAUUCACAGUUCCCAAGAGGGAGGGUGCAUGCCAGGCCAUGUAGCACCACAUGAGGAAGCAGCAGGGUCAGUUAGGAAGUGGGGUAGAGUGAGCGGAACUGCCUGAAAGCCUUUGUUGUGUUUUUCCUGGAAAGGAAUGGGUAUGGCAGGAUAAGCAGUUUUAGGAUUGGCUAGUUUGAAUAAUUUCAGGGGCCUGGGGUACAGGAGCUGCCCUAUUUGUCUGGUGCAUGGCCUGGGGUGAUUAGGGCAGAGGAGUAAUGUUCCAUGGGAUAAGAUCCUGAGAAAGCAGGGUUGGGGGUUUUGAUUAGUUUGCAGCUGAGGGGUAUACUUUUGAUAGACUCUCUAGAAAUUUCUGUCUCUGGAAAUCUGCUUACUCUGGGAGGGCAGAUUCCCCAGGGUCGAUUAGGACACCAGAAUAAAAAGGCAUGCUUGAUUCAAUGACCACACUUACUUGUAAGAAAGGCAAGGAAGUAUAAUCUAGCUGGGUGUCCAAGAGAGAGAUUGGUUUUGGUGAGCACAUUUAGUGUCUACUCCUGUAACCUAAGUGGAAAGAACUUAAAGUUUGGAGUUAGAAGACAUGGAUGGAGCAACUGAUCCUGUGUCAUGGGACUGUGUGAGCUUGGUUGAGUCACUUUCUCAGAACAUCAGUUCUAUUAGCUUUCAAAAGGGGAGAAUAGAUUGAGUUACAUCUCAUGGCAGUUGUUGUACAAGAUGCUUUUGGCAGACUCCAGAGUGCUGAUCCAAUGCUGACUGUUUUUUGUGGGCUUUCCAAGUUUGCAGGGGGCUCCCUGUGGCUCUUGGAGCUCUGCUGUCAUUUAAGCACAGGUCCCACCCCCACCACACUUGGAGUGGGACCAAAGAAACAGCUGGGGUGACCUGUUUCCCCAAAGCCACAUGCGAGGGCUCAGAGAGUCUUUACAAGGAUGGCUCUGGAUUAACAGAUGUGGCUGGGGGAUUUCGUGCCAUAUCCAGCUGGGAGUACACACAGCUCAGUGGGAAAGAUGGUGAUUAGUGACUCUGCCAAUGCUUUUUAAAAAUGAUUCUUUUUCCCAUUUUAAAUCAGUACAUGCUCAUUAAAGAAACAGAGUUAAAUAUAGAAAAAUACAAAGAACAAGGCACUCCUCGUACCACCACACAAUCACUAGUAACAUUUUGUUUCUCCUUUUUUUCCCUUUUGGUAUUUUCCCUCUGUGAAAUGGCUUUUAAUUCAUUUAUUCUUAAUCAAAAAUUCAAUCUGAGACAUAGUGCAUACAAAAUUUAAAAGUUACAGAGGGUUAUGCAGUGAAAGAGAAUUCUCCCCCUCCCUGUUCCCUUCCUGGAAGGCAGCCUUGGUUACCAGCCCCUUGAGUUUUCCUUCCAAAGUUAAAUCAAUGCACAUAUAAGUAUAUGCAUGCAUAUUCUUUUAUUUUUAAACACACAUUCUUACAUGGUAUAUACUCUCUUCCAUAACUUGCUUUUCCUCAUAACAAUGCAUCUUAGAGAAUAUUCCAUAUCAGUUCAUGGGAGCUGCCUCAUUCAUUUUAAAGGCUGUAUAAUAUUCAGUUGUAUGGAUUGUAUCAUAACUUAUUUAACUAGUCUGAUGUUGAAGGAUAUUUAGUUUGUUUCCAGUCUUUUGAAUUUUUCACAAUGCUGCAAUGAAUAUUCUUAUGCAUAUGUCAUGUCAUGCAUGGGCAAGCAUAUCUGUAGGAUAACUUUCCAGAGUUGCAGUUGCCAGGUUAAAGACCUAAACAUUUUAAAUAUUAUGGGUUAUUGCUUCUUUGAAGGUCAGAUGCAUUGCAAGUGCACAGAGGAGAGUGUUGUUUUCUUGACAUGCUUGCCAACAAUCUGACAGUGAGUUUUGUCAAGUUGGAUAACCUCAUAGGUAAAAAUGGUAUCCUGUCAAAUAUUUUUAUAUAUUAAAAAUCCAUUUUAGGAGUUCCUGUCAUGGCUCAGUGGUUAAUGAAUCUGACUAGGAACCAUGAUGUUGCAGGUUUGAUCCCUGGCCUCGCACAGUGGGUUAAGGAUCCGGCGUUGCCGUGAGCUGUGGGGUAGGUUGCAGACUUGGCUAAGAUCUGGCGUUGCUGUGGCAUAGGCCUGCAGCUGUAGCUCCAAUUAGACCCCUAGCCUGAGAACCUCCAUAUGCCACAGGUGCAGCCCU
rnacentral:lncRNA from 1 species